rnacentral:rRNA from 1 species
UACAGAGGGUGCAAGCGUUAAUCGGAAUUACUGGGCGUAAAGCGUGCGCAGACGGUUGCGUAAGUCAGAUGUGAAAGCCCCGGGCUCAACCUGGGAACUGCAGUCGAUACUGAUGGACUAGAGUACGGUAGAGGUGGCGGAACUCCGGGUGUAGCGGUGAAUGCGUAGAUAUCCGGAAGAACACCGAUGGCGAAGGCAACCACCUGGGCCUGUACUGACGCUGAGGUACGAAAGCGUGGGGAGCAAACAGG